rnacentral:rRNA from 1 species
GAUGAACGCUGGCGGCGUGCCUAAUACAUGCAAGUCGAGCGAAUGGAUUAAGAGCUUGCUCUUAUGAAGUUAGCGGCGGACGGGUGAGUAACACGUGGGUAACCUGCCCAUAAGACUGGGAUAACUCCGGGAAACCGGGGCUAAUACCGGAUAACAUUUUGAACCGCAUGGUUUGAAAUUGAAAGGCGGCUGCGGCUGUCACUUAUGGAUGGACCCGCGUCGCAUUAGCUAGUUGGUGAGGUAACGGCUCACCAAGGCAACGAUGCGUAGCCGACCUGAGAGGGUGAUCAGCCACACUGGGACUGAGACACGGCCCAGACUCCUACGGGAGGCAGCAGUAGGGAAUCUUCCGCAAUGGACGAAAGUCUGACGGAGCAACGCCGCGUGAGUGAUGAAGGCUUUCGGGUCGUAAAACUCUGUUGUUAGGGAAGAACAAGAGCUAGUUGAAUAAGCUGGCACCUUGACGGUACCUAACCAGAAAGCCACGGCUAACUACGUGCCAGCAGCCGCGGUAA